rnacentral:pre_miRNA from 1 species
GUAGUAAUCGCUCUGACCCAUAUUACUUGUCUUAAGUUUGUCCAAAUAUGAAUGUAUCUAUGUUUAAAAAGCAUCUAGACACAUUUAAUAUUUCGACAAGUAAUAUGGGUCGGAGUGAGUAAUAC